CUUGAGAUAACUUGAAAUGAAUUAAUUAAAUUGAAAUGAGUUUUGUGUUUUGUAACUAAGCAUGAUAAAUAUGUCCACAGGCUGUGACCCUUUGACCUCCCAGGUCUCUGUAAGUCAGUGGACCUAUUUUUGAUGUUAAAAUGCGUCAGGCAACACAUUAAGGUCAUUUUAUUUUUACUUUAAGCACACAUGUUAUCCUUAUAAAUGCAAAGUAAUGUAAAGUUUUCAUUAGGAGUAUUGGUAACAUUAAAGUUGGAGCAUCAUAUGUUGCAACUGUAAUAAACAAAUUCAUGACAAUGAAGAGGAACUUCUGGUAUGACAAAGGUGUGAAAAGUAGAUCUGAGUGGGAUUUUCUUGGGUCCGGUUCAUCUUCCUCGUCUCCCAGCCUCUUCCUCCUUCCUCUCUGCCGCAGCGUUACGGCAGCGGCCCGUUUAAAAGCAGAGGUAUUUACGACUCAGCUCUCUGCUCCUCCUGGGCUCCACAGAACAUGUGGGACUGGCAGAGUGACACCAGCGGUUUAAAGAUAGACAGGUUUCUGGCUAUUUUGUAUCACAGCCCAUCUGUCUGUCUGUACACCUGCCCGUCUGGUCACGGUUGCACACGUACAAAAUGGAGAGCCUGUGAACAAACAACCUCUGAAUCCGUCUGUUCAGACCUGAAAGGGCUCUACUAUAAUGUAGGUUAUAAAAAUAAAAUAUUACACAAUCAAACAUAUAAGUAUUAAAGUUUAAACACGGUCUUCAAGUAAAUGUGUCCAUCCAUUUUCAUUGGAAACGAACAAAACUUUUUCAUGAAAGUAUUUGUCGCCAUCUGCUGGUCAACAGAGGCAAUCGCAUACUUUUUGCCACAGGUGAAAUCAAUGUUGUGCUGAUGAUUCAAACACCUGUUUAAACCAAAGUGAGCGCGGCGGCGACGUUAGACCAGACGGGUAGUUUCUGAGUUCAGAGGGCGUCAUUCAUGUCUGUUAGGUGUUUUGAGAUUCUGAGAGGGAGCGGGUUAAUGAGAGAGCGCUGUUCUCAGGGGAAUCACAUCCCAUCGGGUCGACAGCUGCCCAGGACUCCGCCUAUGAUGGAUGUGAAGAAGCGCCUGGACUUCAGCUGUGAUUUCAGUGUGUCGUGUGAGGGGCCAUGUCUUGUUUCUGGGGCCGGCGGCGGAGACGGAGACGACCAGAACCAGAACCAGAACCGGACGUUUGAUUUCAGCACUCCUCCCGCAAAAGGACACGCUGCAGAACCGGACGAGCCCAAUUUCAUGCUGAAAGGGAUGAAGGGCUACCAGCUGACGGCCGAUGACAGGGAGUUCCUCAAAAGGCUGCAGGAAGAGCGAGUCAUUAAAAAAUACCAGGAAGACCUUGAAGACGUGCAGAGGCUGCUGAAAAAGGAGACCAUGGCGCUGGAGAUGGCGCACGCGUCCAGGAGGAAAGCGGAAGUGGAACUCGGAAAGUUUCCGUCCUGCGAGGAGCUCACACAGUGGCUCAAGGCGGUUCUGGAGGUCGUGGCCCCGACGGCCGACCUCACGGACCUGGACACGAAGUCCCUGCUGGCCGUGGUGACGGCGGAAGACGCCAGGGCGGCCGUGGACGAGAAGAAGCUCCAGCUGGUUCGACUGGAGGCCGCGGCGGCUGACAGGAGGAAGAAAGAGGCCGAAAUGAGAGGGUGGCAGGAAAAACAAAUCGCCAAUGAACAGCUGAGGAUCCAGGGACUGAUGAGCCAGUUAUCUGACCUGACCUCUGAACUUGCUCAACAAGAGGAAAUCUACAAGUCUCUUCAGAUGCAGAUCAAGAAACAGGAAGAAAGUGGAGCUGAUGCAGAGAAGGAAGAGGCCUCAGAUGAAGUACAAGCCAAAGGACAAGUGCAACGUGGACAAAAGGAGAAAAGAAAAGCACAGUAUAUACAUGAAGUCCAAAACGCAGACUAUACAUCUUACAAAAGGAGCAGCACAGUUUAUGCAGCAGUUUCCUGUGGCGAAGCAUGUAACUAA
ensembl:lncRNA uncharacterized LOC114851142